GACGAACGCUGGCGGCGUGCUUAACACAUGCAAGUCGAACGGAAAGGCCCUGCUUUUGUGGGGUGCUCGAGUGGCGAACGGGUGAGUAACACGUGAGUAACCUGCCCUUGACUUUGGGAUAACUUCAGGAAACUGGGGCUAAUACCGGAUAGGAGCUCCUGCUGCAUGGUGGGGGUUGGAAAGUUUCGGCGGUUGGGGAUGGACUCGCGGCUUAUCAGCUUGUUGGUGGGGUAGUGGCUUACCAAGGCUUUGACGGGUAGCCGGCCUGAGAGGGUGACCGGCCGCAUUGGGAACGCGGAACGGACGAGAGAGUGGAGGGGGAGGGCGGGGGGGAAGGAGGGCAAGUGGGCGGAUGCCGGAGGCAGCAAGGGCGCGUGCGGGCGGGCGCCUGUGGGGUUGUAAACCGCUUGAGCCUGGGAGGAGGGGAGAGUGAUGAGAAGAGGAAAAAAAGCGCCGGCAAACGUCGUGCAAGCGGCCGGGUUAAUAAUAGGAAGGGCAGGCGUCUGAAC
rnacentral:rRNA from 1 species